AGCGAACGCUGGCGGCAGGCUUAACACAUGCAAGUCGAGCGGGCACUUUCGGGUGUCAGCGGCGGACGGGUGCGUAACGCGUGGGAACGUGCCCUCUGGUUCGGAAUAACUCAGGGAAACUUGAGCUAAUACCGGAUACGCCCUUUUGGGGAAAGGCUUGCUGCCGGAGGAUCGGCCCGCGUCUGAUUAGCUAGUGGGUGAGGUAACGGCUCACCAAGGCGACGAUCAGUAGCUGGUCUGAGAGGAUGAUCAGCCACACUGGGAAUGAGACACGGCCCAGACUCCUACGGGAGGCAGCAGUGGGGAAUAUUGGACAAUGGGCGCAAGCCUGAUCCAGCCAUGCCGCGUGAGUGAUGAAGGCCUUAGGGUUGUAAAGCUCUUUUAUCCGGGACGAUAAUGACGGUACCGGAGGAAUAAGCCCCGGCUAACUUCGUG
rnacentral:rRNA from 1 species